UAAUACCGAAUGUGCCCUUUCGGGGGAAAGAUUUAUCGCCUUUAGAGCGGCCCGCGUCUGAUUAGCUAGUUGGUGAGGUAAAGGCUCACCAAGGCGACGAUCAGUAGCUGGUCUGAGAGGAUGAUCAGCCACAUUGGGACUGAGACACGGCCCAAACUCCUACGGGAGGCAGCAGUGGGGAAUCUUGCGCAAUGGGCGAAAGCCUGACGCAGCCAUGCCGCGUGAAUGAUGAAGGUCUUAGGAUUGUAAAAUUCUUUCACCGGGGACGAUAAUGACGGUACCCGGAGAAGAAGCCCCGGCUAACUUCGUGCCAGCAGCCGCGGUAAUACGAAGGGGGCUAGCGUUGCUCGGAAUUACUGGGCGUAAAGGGAGCGUAGGCGGACAUUUAAGUCAGGGGUGAAAUCCCGGGGCUCAACCUCGGAAUUGCCUUUGAUACUGGGUGUCUUGAGUAUGAGAGAGGUGUGUGGAACUCCGAGUGUAGAGGUGAAAUUCGUAGAUAUUCGGAAGAACACCAGUGGCGAAGGCGACACACUGGCUCAUUACUGACGAUGAGGCUCGAAAGCGUGGGGAGCAAACAGGAUUAGAUACCCUGGUAGUCCACGCCGUAAACGAUGAUUGCUAGUUGUCGGGAUGCAUGCAUUUCGGUGACGC
rnacentral:rRNA from 1 species